rnacentral:tRNA from 1 species
AGGGGGUUAGGUUAAGGGUAGACCUGCGGUCUCCAAAACCGCUAGUGGGGGUUCGAAUCCCUCACCCCCUGCCA